ACCCCCUUAGGGGUCGAAUUUCGUAAAAUUUGUUCUUAGCGGAUGUCUACGCCCUAUAAGGAGCCUUCCUGCCAAAUUUCAAGGUUGUAGGUGUUAUAGUUUCGGAGAUUUCGUGAUGAGUGAGUGACCUUUCGCUUUUAUAUAUAUCAUAGAUUAUAGACUAGCUGUGCCCGCGGCUUCGCCCGCGUUGAAAUUAGUGUGUCACAAAGUUUUCCCGGCAAACUUCCAGUGAAACUCUCGUCAAAAUCGGCUUAGCCGUUCCGUAAACCU
rnacentral:misc_RNA from 1 species